rnacentral:tRNA from 4 species
GCGUCUAUAGCUCAGUGGAUAGAGCACUGGUCUCCGGAACCAGGUGUCGAGAGUUCGAAUCCCUCUAGACGCACCA